rnacentral:misc_RNA from 1 species
UUUCCGUAGGUGAACCUGCGGAAGGAUCAUUAACGAAUUAUGAACGUCUUCGGUUGAGCUGGCCUUUACCGGCAUGUGCCCGCCGUCGUACGCUUCUUUCCAAAUUCAACACCUGUGCACCUCUGUAGUUCUGGUUCUUUGGGGGAUGAGGCGAGGGGAAGGGGAGCAACCUUUUUCCUUACCGAUUCCUUCGAAUUCCGAUCUAUGUACUUCAUACCCCAACCAAUAAAGACCAUAGGAUGUAAAACGAGUCGGCUUGUGGGCUGAGGCGUAAACAACCUCGUCCCUUGACGCAAAACAAAACUAUAUACAACUUUCAACAACGGAUCUCUUGGCUCUC